GAUGAACGCUGGCGGCGUGCCUAAUACAUGCAAGUCGAGCGAACAGACGAGGAGCUUGCUCCUCUGCCGUUAGCGGCGGACGGGUGAGUAACACGUGGCUAACCUACCUAUAAGACUGGGAUAACUUCGGGAAACCGGAGCUAAUACCGGAUAAUAUAUUGAACCGCAUGGUUCAAUAGUGAAAGCCGGUUUUGCUGUCACUUAUAGAUGGAUCCGCGCCGCAUUAGCUAGUUGGUAAGGUAACGGCUUACCAAGGCAACGAUGCGUAGCUGACCUGAGAGGGUGAUCAGCCACACUGGAACUGAGACACGGUCCAGACUCCUACGGGAGGCAGCAGUAGGGAAUCUUCCGCAAUGGGCGAAAGCCUGACGGAGCAACGCCGCGUGAGUGAUGAAGGUCUUCGGAUCGUAAAACUCUGUUAGUUGGGAAGAACAAAUGUGUAAGUAACUAUGCACGUCUUGACGGUACCUAAUCAGAAAGCCACGGCUAACUACGUG
rnacentral:rRNA from 1 species